ACUUUAACAGAGCGGCCGAUGCGACAGCACCUAUAUCUAUGCUACAGAAUUAUACCACUAUUUGAAUCUAUAUAUUGACGAUUAGGCCAUUCUGAGAUUAAUUACGACUAUAUAAAGAGUCGGGAAGCAAUGACUCGGCGGACUUGGUCCGGGAAAAGCCCUCUUCGCAUUGAAGAGGGUUUUUUGUAUUGGAUACAAUAAACUUCGUAUGAAAGAACCCUAGGAGUUGUGUUAUCAUGGGGAGAACAUAGCUACUACAAUGGUUUCGUGCACGAUAAAAGAAGUCAUUGUGCUAGGAAUCCGUGUUGCAAUGAGUAUACAUGAACAACAUUGGAGGACACUAAUCUAGCCAACAAAAGUUUUCAUUAACUUUGAGUAUGACAGGAAGCAGUGAAAUUGCCCGAUAACUAUUCGGAUCAUUUUUUGGCUUAUCAUGACCCUUAUAUAAAGUGCAAAUCAAACCCUGUUUAAGGGAGGGAGGCAUAUUCAAACUUAACAAAUGCGUUAAAUAAAUUACAUAGACAUAGGUAUAAUGAGUCCUUCAUACACAAUAGAAUCAAUACCUGAAGAUUUACCAUGUGGGAGACUUCUACAAGAAAGUUUGAUUUCGUCACUCGUAAAAAUGAAAUCGGAAUUCCCUGGUAACGGGACAUCAUGACGUAAGAAUUCAUCAAGCUCAGAUUUUAUAUGAUGUUUAAAGUUAUCGUCAAACGAACAAUCUGACGUUUGAGAAUAAAUUCCGGCGAAGUAUUCUCCCCAGUGCAGCGCUAGCGCGGCAGGGUCUCUGACAGUCUGACCGCCAAAUACAACUUCGGCACCUGCCGAGCCUUUAGAUCCUCCACUGGAGCGAGAUUUAACAAGGGACCAAAAUGACUGCUGAUUAACGUCGGCUGCAACUUAUAUAUCAGAGUUAAGGGUAAUAAGAUGUUCUGAUAAAUGUCGAUGUUUUCGGCGAAAUGUACGCUUAGCAUCUUUGUAUAAACGGAAGGAACGGGAAUCGGGACAACGAGGACGACCUUCGUUAUCCCAGAUGCACCUCAGUCGCCACAUGUUAUGAUGUAACUCUUUCAGUUCUCCCUUUCAAUAAGGUUUCAAGAAUUUCUUGAACGCUUUUUAACGAGACUAAGGAGACGUCUUGGAUACCCUUAAUCAGGACAUCGGUAUAAUUGUCAAUAUCAGACGAGUUUUCUAACUGUAUAUUGUCGAGAUUGGAGUUCGUAAUAAAAUGCUGAAGGUUGUACCGAUAGACCGCAGUGCCUGAAGUCGUGUCAUUCAAAUUCCAUUUAAAAGUAUGACGUUCAAUUUGAGAACACAUCACAGAAGACGCAAUUGGAAAUGAUAAGUCAAAAAAGAUAGGUCUAUGAUUGGAUACAUCUAAAUACGUCUGACCACCAAUAUAAGUUGAUAUGAGGUCAAUCUUUGAAGAAUCAAUACUUAUGUGAUCUAUUGAAGAUGAC